GUGGAAUGGUCCUUUCUCAAUCAAACUUUUCUUCGCUCUUUCUUUGACCCGACUUGGGUGAACCUAGUCGUGCAGUCACCACAAUCAGCUUCUCCAUCUGGUCCAUGGCGGCCCUACUCAGCAAUUUUACCCUUCUAGAGUUCUUCAGCAAGGUGAUCCUUUAUCACCUUUAUUUUUAUUUAUCUGGUAAGCUUUGUCUUCUCUGAUUAAUAGAGCCAAGCAACAAAGGAUCAAUAAAGGUAUGAAGUUGUCAAGAUACUCUCCUACUUUCAUCAAUGUCUUGUUUGCUGAUGACACUCUGCUAUUUGUCAGAGCCACUCGUUCAGAAGCUGAAGCUAUUAAGGAGACCCUGGAUCCUUAGCUACUGGGCAAAGAAUCAAUUGCCACAAGCUAGCAUCUUUUUUAGCCACUCGUUCAGAAUGCUUGCGCUAGUAAAUCCCGGUCUAUGGGAGAUUCAAGCCGCUGUCCAUACCAUCCGAUCUAUGAUUCCCCUUUUUGAUCAUGUUUCGUUUUCUCAAGUUAGCAAGAAAGCUAACAAUGCUGCUGAUGAUUCUUUGCCGUGUAAUUGGAUUGUAAACGCUCCCCAGGAGCUGCGCUUUGCCUGUACUCCCGACUUUCCUAGUGCUUUUCAAUGCAACAUUCAGCAUUUUCCAAACAACCAAAAAAAGAGCUUGCUUUUAUUUCGCAUGAAAAUUUUGCUUUUCUUCUCGUUUGAAUACUUGGCCUUCUUUUUUUUCUCUGUAAUUUAUGGUCUAAUGUAAAUGGUGACAUGCUAUGGUUUAUGUAGAGAAUAAUUUGUCGUUAUUUCAAGUUUCUAUGGUCA
rnacentral:misc_RNA from 1 species